rnacentral:rRNA from 1 species
GAGGAUUAUACUGUCUCCCCCCCUAAAUCAAUGAAACUGAUCCCCCCGUGAAGAAGCGGGGAUAAAUAUAUAAGACGAGAAGACCCUAUGGAGCUUUAAACUCAACACCACCUACCUCAACCAACUCCCUCACAAACAGGUAGAGAUCGUGUAUGUUUUCAGUUGGGGUGACUGCGGAGCAGAAUAAAACCUCCACGAUGAAAAAUAACCUCUAAUCCAAGAACAACAUUUCAAAGAAUCAACAAAUUGACAUCAAUUGACCCAAAUAAUAAUUUGAUCAACGAACCAAGUUACCCUAGGGAUAACAGCGCAAUCCAUUUCAAGAGCUCAUAUCGACAAAUG